CCGCGGGAUUAGAGUUUGAUCCUGGCUCAGAGCGAACGCUGGCGGCAGGCUUAACACAUGCAAGUCGAGCGGGCGUAGCAAUACGUCAGCGGCAGACGGGUGAGUAACGCGUGGGAACGUACCUUUUGGUUCGGAACAACACAGGGAAACUUGUGCUAAUACCGGAUAAGCCCUUACGGGGAAAGAUUUAUCGCCAAAAGAUCGGCCCGCGUCUGAUUAGCUAGUUGGUGAGGUAACGGCUCACCAAGGCGACGAUCAGUAGCUGGUCUGAGAGGAUGAUCAGCCACAUUGGGACUGAGACACGGCCCAAACUCCUACGGGAGGCAGCAGUGGGGAAUAUUGGACAAUGGGCGCAAGCCUGAUCCAGCCAUGCCGCGUGAGUGAUGAAGGCCCUAGGGUUGUAAAGCUCUUUUGUGCGGGAAGAUAAUGACGGUACCGCAAGAAUAAGCCCCGGCUAACUUCGUGCCAGCAGCCGCGGUAAUACGAAGGGGGCUAGCGUUGCUCGGAAUCACUGGGCGUAAAGGGUGCGUAGGCGGGUCUUUAAGUCAGGGGUGAAAUCCUGGAGCUCAACUCCAGAACUGCCUUUGAUACUGAGGAUCUUGAGUUCGGGAGAGGUGAGUGGAACUGCGAGUGUAGAGGUGAAAUUCGUAGAUAUUCGCAAGAACACCAGUGGCGAAGGCGGCUCACUGGCCCGAUACUGACGCUGAGGCACGAAAGCGUGGGGAGCANACAGGAUUAGAUACCCUGGUAGUCCACGCCGUAAACGAUGAAUGCCAGCCGUUAGUGGGUUUACUCACUAGUGGCGCAGCUAACGCUUUAAGCAUUCCGCCUGGGGAGUACGGUCGCAAGAUUAAAACU
rnacentral:rRNA from 1 species